rnacentral:lncRNA from 1 species
AAAAAAAAAAAAAAAAAAUGCUCGAUAAUCUUUUCAUCAGCAAUUGACAAUUUUUUUCUUUUUUAACACAAAUAAUCAUACAAACAUUUAACCAAUCUCAAUGGAUUUGAGGCUAUUUGACUUGGAUUUGAACUCCCACUUCCAUUAUUCCCUUCAAUAGGUUUAAAAGAAACUCCUAAAAUUUAAAAUCAAAACCCAAGAUCCCUAAUUUUUAUUAUCUAAUAAGCUUAUCUAUUUAUAUAUACAAAAUACAUUGAGAUUUGAGAGAGAAAAAUUCUGCUUGGCUGCUUCGAAGGAGUUGUGGUCCCAAAAUCUAAAUGCUUGUGCAGUUGUGUUAUUGUGCAGAAAUGGGAUCGAUGAAACAGGGAGAAGCGAAUGUGCAGAUUGGGAUUUUUUUUUACAAAUUUGGUCCUCACAUGAUCAAUCUUUAACAAUAAAUUAUAAAAGUUAUAAAAUAUAGUGGAUUUUAUAUUUUAAAAUUUAAACCCCAGUCUUUGUUAUUAUUUUUUACCCACCAUAGUAUAUAUUUAUAAAUUUAGAUAUACAUAGUAUUAAAAUUUACCAAUGCUGGGGUUGGGCCUAUAUAGACUCGUUCCUGACCACGAUGCAUAUUAGGAAAAACCACAAUGCAUGUUAGGACUUCAAAUACAACUUUUUUUUUUUUUUUUUUUGAAGCAAUUAAAUUUCAUUAGAAUAAGGCUAAUGCCAAGUUUACAAAAUAGAGAAUAGAAAUAAAAAUAGAAGUAAAAAGAAAUGAGCAAAAUGCUCAUUGACUCUCUCCCAUUAGCUACGUAGUCUAAUUAUACAAUAACUAGAUACGCUGCCUCAGAAGGUUGGUCUCCCAUACUUCCAUCAUAGAUAUCUCCAAAGGGUGACAACAGCUCUUCUUGUAAUACACUGAAUCAAAGGAGAGGCUAAUGUCUUUAAUGAUCUUCUUAAGGACUACCUCAGGAGGCCUACUAAUGUGCUGCCUAUACCUUUUAUUUCUUUCCGUCCAUAUAUGCCACGACAAGCACCCAAUAGCAUUCCAUAUUAACCCCCAAGGGGGGGAGUGGCGCGUAAUCUUUUGUGUUGCUUCCGUCAGAUCCCCCAAUCUAAUAUCUGGACUUGAUUGGGUAGGAACUGGAAUAUUCAUUAUUUUCCAGAAAGCGAAAUCCAACUGUUCCGCCAAAAAAAUUAAGAGAGAUCUGGAAUAAGAACAGUUAAAGAAAAGAUGACUCCUAGUUUCAUCUUUCAGAUUACACAAUAAGCAAGCAGGAGGUACUUGUACUCUCCAAUUUCUUAAUUUCCUAAACGUGUUUAGAUGAUCCCAUUUCACC